rnacentral:rRNA from 1 species
CCUUACCUACGGGGGGCAGCAGUAGGGAAUCUUCCACAAUGGACGAAAGUCUGAUGGAGCAACGCCGCGUGAGUGAAGAAGGGUUUCGGCUCGUAAAGCUCUGUUGGUAGUGAAGAAAGAUAGAGGUAGUAACUGGCCUUUAUUUGACGGUAAUUACUUAGAAAGUCACGGCUAACUACGUGCCAGCAGCCGCGGUAAUACGUAGGUGGCAAGCGUUAUCCGGAUUUAUUGGGCGUAAAGGGAACGCAGGCGGUCUUUUUAGUCUGAUGUGAAAGCCUU